GACGGAAGGUGCAAGCGUUGCUCGGAAUCACUGGGCGUAAAGGGUGCGUAGGCGGCCGUGCAAGUCUGGCGUGAAAGCCCCGGGCUCAGCCCGGGAAGUGCGCUCGAAAACUGCGCGGCUCGAGUGCCGGAGGGGAGAGUGGAAUUCCUGGUGUAGCGGUGAAAUGCGUAGAUAUCAGGAGGAAUACCGGUGGCGAAAAGCGACUCUCUGGACGGCAACUGACGCUGAGGCACGAAAGCUGGGGAGCAAACAGG
rnacentral:rRNA from 1 species